AUGAAGCGCACAACUGUUCUAAACACGAACCACAAUGUUGCGUCGAUCUCCGCGCGCUUCAGCUGAUUUUAUAAGACCCUAUUGUGUUUUUAUGACCAAAAUACGUGUAAGAGAGAUUUCGGGAAGAUAAAUAGACCUAUCAAAGUAAAAAGACGCAUAUGAGGAAGUGAAAACCGGAGAUCAUUGCGAAAAGUGGCAGAGAAGCACAAUUAUUCGCUUCUAAGGUAAAUUCGAAUGCGAGAUGACUCUGGCGAGCAAGAAAAUAAAAAAAUGGGAUAUAA